rnacentral:rRNA from 1 species
UACGCAGGGGGCUAGCGUUGCUCGGAAUCACUGGGCGUAAAGGGUGCGUAGGCGGGUCUUUAAGUCAGGGGUGAAAUCCUGGAGCUCAACUCCAGAACUGCCUUUGAUACUGAAGAUCUUGAGUUCGGGAGAGGUGAGUGGAACUGCGAGUGUAGAGGUGAAAUUCGUAGAUAUUCGCAAGAACACCAGUGGCGAAGGCGGCUCACUGGCCCGAUACUGACGCUGAGGCACGAAAGCGUGGGGAGCAAACAGG